rnacentral:lncRNA from 1 species
CAGCCUCAACUUCUCAGCCUUAAGUGAACCUCCUACCUCAGCCCCCCCAGGUGGCUGGGACCACUAUGUCCGGCUAAUUUUUUCUACUUUUUGUAGAGAUGGGUCUCACUACAUUGCCUAGGCUGAUCUUGAACUCCUGGGCUCAAGCAAUCCACCUGCUUUUGCCUCCCAAAGUGCUGAGAUUACAUGUGUCAGCCACUGUGCCCAGCCUAGUAAUAGAAUUUUCUAGAAUUUUAUAUUGAUAGACUCAUACCAGAUGCACUUUUUUUCUGGCUGUCCCCUUUCACCUUCGUAACUAUUUUGAGAUUCAUCCAUGUUCUUGGGUGUUAUCAAUGAUUUCUUUUUACUGCUGAGUAGUAUUCCAAACUUUAUUAAAUUGGGCCCUUUGGAUAUGAGUUAUUUAUUUUAUAUCAACUGUACCUCAAUAAGACCAUGAAAAAAAAAGAGGAUUCUCUUAAAACUUGAAAACAAGUUCAGAAUCUGACCAGCUCUCCUCAUCUCAACUACCAGUACUCAUGGGCAAGCCACAGCCAUCAACCUGGCUGACUCUGCUGUGAUCCACACUGAGCUCUUUUUUCUUCCCCUUCCCCUAUAUAGGCUAAUUUUUUUUUCUUUUUCUUUUUCUUUUUUUCAGACAGGGUCUUGCUCUGUUGCCCAGGCUGAAGCACAGUUGCACAAUCAUAGCUCACUGCAGCCUCCACCUCUCAGGCUCAAGCAAUCCUCUCACCUCAGCUUCCCCAGUAGCUGCGACCACAGGUGUGCACCACCAGGCCUGGCUAAUUGUUUUGUAUGUUUUUGUAGACACCGAGUUUCACCAUGUUGCCCAGGCUGGUCUUUAACUCCUGGACCCAAGCAAUCCACCAGCCUCAGCU